CCCGGGCCAAACCCUCUCUCUCUCUCCACAAAUCCCCAAAUCUCUCUCUCUCUCCAAACCCCCAAAUCCCCCUCAUCCCCCUCCACCUGCACCUCCACCUGCUUGAAAAUUCCCCUCGUUCUUCCCUAUCAAAAACCCUAACCCUACCUCUCUUCUUGGUUCCCAACUCCGAUCCAUGGCGCAUCGAUCUCUCCCCCCUCCUCAAAACCCUCCUCCGAUCCCGCCUAACCCCCUCCCGCUCCGUCACCUACAUGCCCCGCCCCGGCGACGGCGCCCCUCACCCCGUGACCAUAAUCCCCGAUGCCUCGUUCUUCUUCCUCUGAAUCUCUUGUAGAGAGAGAGAGAGAGAGAGAGAGAGAGAGAGAGAGAGCGAUUCAAAAAUGGUUUAGAGGUUGACCUAUCGCAAGAGGCACAGCUAUGCCACGAAAUCGAACCCGACCCGCGUCGUCAAAACCCCUGGUGGGAAACUUACCUACCAGACAGCCAAGAAGAGGGCGAAAGGACCGAGGUGCCAUGUGACUGGAAAGAGAAUCCAAGGGGUGGGAUAACGACAUUGAUUGAUAUGCCCCUCAACAGAUAUCUGUCCACAAUGUCUGUAGAACACUAAAACUCAAGAGUCUGGUCAGUGAAGUUUGCAUUGUGAAAAGCGCUACAUCUCUGAUGCUUCCAUGUGAGAAAAAAGGUCUUGCUGAAGUGAUGCAUAAUGAAGCUCUUGCUAAAUAGAAAAUUACUUCUUAUCUAUGUAAACAAUUUAUGUAUCACACUAGUAUUUUGGUGAAUGUAUUAUUGAAUAUAAUUGUAUUUGAUAUUGAAAUAUAAUUAGAUUGUG